rnacentral:tRNA from 2 species
GGUAAGAUGGCUGAGAGUCAAGCGGCGGCCUGUAGUUCCGUGAAGAGAGGUUAGAGUCCUCUUCUUAUCA